rnacentral:lncRNA from 1 species
UAAAUUUAUACUAAAUUUUUACAUCGACAACCAACAAAAUCCUGAAUCCAUAUACUUCUCCUAACUUUCGACCAAGUAAAGAGACUAAUUAGAAUACGGUCCAAAAUCAUAAUUAAAUCUAUCCAUUUAGCUUAAAAAUUAUUCUAACAUAAGGCUUACAUUUCUAAAUGUAAAUAUGAUGUAUGUUCACGAGACAUAAGACUUUAAAAAAAAUCAUUUCUUGAUAAAAUGCUUAUCACUUGAGUCCUCAAAUUUUACGUAUUCCAAACUUACCCUCAAGGUAUUUUUAGUCUAAAACAUGUUUAAACCAAAGAUAGGCUUACUUUAU